rnacentral:rRNA from 1 species
UACGGAGGGUGCAAGCAUUGAUCGGAAUUACUGGGCGUAAAGGGCGCGUAGGCGGCCUGCUAAGUCGAACGUGAAAUCCCUGGGCUCAACCCAGGAACUGCGUCCGAUACUGGUUGGCUUGAAUCCGGGAGAGGGACGUGGAAUUCCAGGUGUAGCGGUGAAAUGCGUAGAUAUCUGGAGGAACACCGGUGGCGAAGGCGACGUCCUGGACCGGUAUUGACGCUGAGGCGCGAAAGCCAGGGGAGCAAACGGG